GCCUCUCCAGUCAGCAGCUCAAUCAUCUUGUGGACGAUUUCUAGGAUCUUCUGUUCAUUGAUCUCCUCAUGUAUCAGGGAGUGAGGUGAAGGCCCUGUGAUUGGGCUCAGGGUUCUUCCCCAUCCUUUAGACACAGGGACCUCACAGCGCUCGCUAGAGGUC